UUGCAUGAUCAAGAUGUG
rnacentral:siRNA from 1 species